UGGGAACGUACCCUUUGGUUCGGAACAACCCAGGGAAACUUGGGCUAAUACCGGAUAAGUCCGUAAGGAGAAAGAUUUAUCGCCAAAGGAUCGGCCCGCGUCUGAUUAGCUAGUUGGUAGGGUAAUGGCAACUAAGGCUACGAUCAGUAGCUGGUCUGAGAGGAUGAUCAGCCACAUUGGGACUGAGACACGGCCCAAACUCCUACGGGAGGCAG
rnacentral:rRNA from 1 species